UUCACAUCACAGAUUCUUAGUGUGGAAUCUGUUCUUAUCAGCUUAAUAUCUGUUACGUCUUGCAUCACAUGACUAGAAUAUUAAACUCAAUUUUGGCUUAUGACGGAGUGCUAACUAAGAGUGUGCUCAACCUCUGCCACAUGAUGUCUCGCCGGUCGUUGUGAUCGAGCGGAUCUAGGCGCUU